AAUAGCACUUCGGGUUUCAGGAUCGAGAACAUCCUGGAAAUAAGAGCGGAAGCAGAAAAGCCAGCAGAGCAGGCCAUCACAAUAGACGUGGCGUGAGAUGGUGCUGAGGAUCUAGGCAAGAGAUCCCUGAUUUCAGGAACCUUCCAGCCUAGUGGGGAAGAUAAUCAAGUAAAUUCAAAAUAUUAAUAACAGGCCAUUUCUUAAAAGUUGGGUAGUGUGCAGGUAGAAUUGUGGGAUAGAGCAACCAGGGAAACCAGUGGUAUUUUUUUCUUCUUCAGCACCAUAUGCUUCUACGACUUACACUUUCCAUGAAGUGGGUCUGGCUGUCUCUCACCUCCUCAUGAUUCUGUUAGAAGACCAUCCUGAAACAUGUCCAUGAGGAUGGUAGCCAGUCAUACCAGCUAAUUUGUUGCCCUAAGAGGCCUCAUGAGACUGCAGAUGACCAGUUACAGGAGAAUCAUCAGAAAGAGAACAAGAAAGACUGAGG
rnacentral:lncRNA from 10 species